rnacentral:rRNA from 1 species
AUUGAACGCUGGCGGCAGGCCUAACACAUGCAAGUCGAACGGUAACAGGAAGAAGCUUGCUUCUUUGCUGACGAGUGGCGGACGGGUGAGUAAUGUCUGGGAAACUGCCUGAUGGAGGGGGAUAACUACUGGAAACGGUAGCUAAUACCGCAUAACGUCGCAAGCCCAAAGAGGGGGACCUUCUGGCCUCUUGCCAUCGGAUGCGCCCAGAUGGUAUUAGCUAGUAGGUGGGGUAACGGCUCACCUAGGCGACGAUCCCUAGCUGGUCUGAGAGGAUGACCAGCAACACUGGAACUGAGACACGGUCCAGACUCCUACGGGAGGCAGCAGUGGGGAAUAUUGCACAAUGGGCGCAAGCCUGAUGCAGCCAUGCCGCGUGUAUGAAGAAGGCCUUCGGGUUGUAAAGUACUUUCAGCGGGGAGGAAGGGAGUAAAGUUAAUACCUUUGCUCAUUGACGUUACCCGCAGAAGAAGCACCGGCUAACUCCGUG